rnacentral:rRNA from 1 species
GUUGUCCGGAAUUAUUGGGCGUAAAGAGCUCGUAGGCGGUUUGUUGCGUCGGCUGUGAAAACCUGAGGCUCAACCUCAGGCCUGCAGUCGAUACGAGCAGACUAGAGUGUUGCAGGGGAGACUGGAAUUCCUGGUGUAGCGGUGAAAUGCGCAGAUAUCAGGAGGAACACCGGUGGCGAAGGCGGGUCUCUGGGCCGAUACUGACGCUGAGGAGCGAAAGCGUGGGGAGCGAACAGG